rnacentral:rRNA from 1 species
AGAGCUAUAAUCAAAUAAAUAAUAUCUAUUAUUUUACUUUUAAAUCCACCUUAAAAUCAUUAUUUCAAACAACUUAACGUAUAAAUAAAUUUAUUGUAACCCAUCUCUACUAAAAUAUAAACUGCACCUUGACCUGACAUCAAUUAUAAUUAUAAAUUAAGAAAAUUAUUCCUCUUUUAAGAUAUUCUGAUAACGGCGAUAUACAAAUUGAAAACAAACUUUAGUAAGGUCCAACGUGGAUUAUCGAUUACAGGACAGGUUCCUCUAAAUAGACUAAAACACCGCCAAAUUCUUUAAGUUUGAAGAUCAUAUCUAUUACUACUCAAGUAUUAAAAAUUACAUUUUAAAUAAUAGGGUAUCUAAUCCUAGUUUAUAAUUAAAAUUUCCUAGCUUCAUUAAAUCUUGAUGUAUAAAAUUAAUUAAAUUUAAAAUUUCACUUAAAAAAUUUAAAUUAAUUUUAUUUUAUAACAAAUUAACUAUUACUAAUAGAUCUUAUUUGUAUUAUUUG